rnacentral:rRNA from 1 species
AUUGAGCGCUGGCGGCAUGCCUUACACAUGCAAGUCGAACGGCAGCACGGGUGCUUGCACCUGGUGGCGAGUGGCGAACGGGUGAGUAAUACAUCGGAACAUGUCCUGUAGUGGGGGAUAGCCCGGCGAAAGCCGGAUUAAUACCGCAUACGAUCUACGGAUGAAAGCGGGGGACCUUCGGGCCUCGCGCUAUAGGGUUGGCCGAUGGCUGAUUAGCUAGUUGGUGGGGUAAAGGCCUACCAAGGCGACGAUCAGUAGCUGGUCUGAGAGGACGACCAGCCACACUGGGACUGAGACACGGCCCAGACUCCUACGGGAGGCAGCAGUGGGGAAUUUUGGACAAUGGGCGAAAGCCUGAUCCAGCAAUGCCGCGUGUGUGAAGAAGGCCUUCGGGUUGUAAAGCACUUUUGUCCGGAAAGAAAUCCUUGGCCCUAAUACGGUCGGGGGAUGACGGUACCGGAAGAAUAAGCACCGGCUAACUACGUG